rnacentral:rRNA from 1 species
AACGAACGCUGGCGGCAGGCCUAACACAUGCAAGUCGAGCGAAGCCUUCGGGCUUAGCGGCGGACGGGUGAGUAACGCGUGGGAACGUGCCCUUUGGUACGGAAUAGCCCCGGGAAACUGGGAGUAAUACCGUAUGUGGUCGAGAGACGAAAGAUUUAUCGCCAAAGGAUCGGCCCGCGUUGGAUUAGGUAGUUGGUGGGGUAAUGGCCUACCAAGCCGACGAUCCAUAGCUGGUUUGAGAGGAUGAUCAGCCACACUGGGAUUGAGACACGGCCCAGACUCCUACGGGAGGCAGCAGUGGGGAAUCUUAGACAAUGGGGGGAACCCUGAUCUAGCCAUGCCGCGUGAUCGAUGAAGGCCUUAGGGUUGUAAAGAUCUUUCAGUGGGGAAGAUAAUGACUGUACCCACAGAAGAAGCCCCGGCUAACUCCGUGCCAGCCGCCGCAGUAACAC